GAUGAACGCUGGCGGCGUGCCUAAUACAUGCAAGUCGAGCGAACGGACGAGAAGCUUGCUUCUCUGAUGUUAGCGGCGGACGGGUGAGUCACACGUGUAUAACCUACCUAUAAGACUGGGAUAACUUCGGGAAACCGGAGCUAAUACCGGAUAAUAUUUUGAACCGCAGGGGUCGAAAGUAAAAGACGGUCGUGCGGUCACUUCUAGCUGGAUCCGCGCUGCAUUAGCUAGUUGGUAAGGUAACGGCCUACCAAGGCAACGAUGCAUAGCCGAACGGACAGACGGAUAGGCGACCUGGGAAGUGAGACAGGGACCAUACGACUAAGGGAGGGAGCAGUCGCCAACGUUCCGCAAUAGGCGGGAGCAUGACGGAGUAAGGCGGCGUGAGUGAUGAAGGUGUCGCGAUCGUGAUGCUCUGCUAUUAGGGAUGAACAGCUGUCUCCGUAGAUGAAGACAUAGUGACGGUACCUAGUCAAGAAGCACCGGCUAACUACGUG
rnacentral:rRNA from 1 species